rnacentral:rRNA from 1 species
UUAUUUUCAGGAAGCUUUCGGGUGGAAUGAACUUAACUUAGCGGCGGACGGGUGAGUAACGCGUGGACAACCUAUCCUGUACAGGGGGAUAACAAUGGGAAACCAUUGCUAAUACCCCAUAACACCUUUUAGGGGCAUCCCUUUAAGGUCAAAGAAUUUCGGUACAGGAUGGGUCCGCGUCUGAUUAGCUAGUUGGUGAGGUAAUGGCUCACCAAGGCGACGAUCAGUAGCCGGCCUGAGAGGGUGAACGGCCACACUGGAACUGAGACACGGUCCAGACUCCUACGGGAGGCAGCAGUGGGGAAUUCUACAUUGGGGGCGAAAGCCUGAUGCAGCAACGCCGCGUGAGCGAUGAAGGCUUUCGGGUCGUAAAGCUCUGUCCUAAGGGAAGAUAAUGACGGUACCUUAGGAGGAAGCCCCGGCUAACUACGUGCCAGCAGCCGCGGUAAUACGUAGGGGGCAAGCGUUAUCCGGAAUCAUUGGGCGUAAAGGGUGCGUAGGCGGCCCUAUAGGUCAGAGGUCAAAGGCUACGGCUCAACCGUAGUAAGCCUUUGAAACUGUAGGGCUUGAGUGCAGGAGAGGAGAGUGGAAUUCCUAGUGUAGCGGUGAAAUGCGUAGAUAUUAGGAGGAACACCAGUGGCGAAGGCGACUCUCUGGACUGCAACUGACGCUGAGGCACGAAAGCGUGGGGAGCGAACAGGAUUAGAUACCCUGGUAGUCCACGCCGUAAACGAUGAGUGCUAGGUGUCGGGGGUCGAACCUCGGUGCCGCAGCUAACGCAUUAAGCACUCCGCCUGGGGAGUACGUUCGCAAGAAUGAAACUCAAAGGAAUUGACGGGGACCCGCACAAGCAGCGGAGCAUGUGGUUUAAUUCGAAGCAACGCGAAGAACCUUACCUGGACUUGACAUCCCUCGGACCGCUUUUUAACCAAAGCCUUCCCUUCGGGGACUGAGGUGACAGGUGGUGCAUGGUUGUCGUCAGCUCG